UGUUAUAUGCUUUUAUAAGGAUGUGGGUGGUGCAGAAUUGACUGGGUAUGGUAAUCGAAGAUAUUCCUCUGUUCUGAAAGCAGCUAGCUAGAGAUCGGGGGAGAAGUCACAUUAGCUUCAAAGAUUCUGACAAUGAUUCUCAUAUGAUUUCCCCAUCAGUCUGGAAAUCUGGAGGCCCAUAUCAUGUGGCUCGUAGGGCAUACCAGGAAGAUUCUGACGAGUGUUAUGAGACAGUUUAUGCUGCUCGUCUCAGUGACAGGACGAGGCAUAUGCUGUUUGAUGUGGAUUUGAAGGUUCAAGCAAGUUAUCAAGGUGAGCAUGUUCCUCUGGUUUCUCUGAUGAGCAGAUUGAAUGGCAAAGCAAUUAUAGGACACCCUGUUCAAAUUGAAAUACUCAAGUCUGACACAAAAGGCAAACACAUUUACCCUCUCCAAGUAUAUCAGCAUUAAGAGAUUUAUAUCUCCAUUGAAUUGUAAGACAAUCAAAGCGUGGAUAGGGAAGCCACUAGCAAUCUCUCAUCAAGGAUCAACUUUGACAUGGUUAUGCGUAUAUCUUUUCUGAAAAAAGGAAUGCUGCAUGUAUCUUGUUCUAUUUUAAUCACAGCAGAAUGCCAGAUGAUUUGCUUAUCAUAAUCUUAUAUAGCUUAAAAUACUUUCUGGUGACACUUGCAGCAUGUUUGUCUCUUCUGUCAAGAGGCUGAGGGUGCUGAAGAGCUCCGAUCUUUCUGUGCUAUCUCUGGGAGCAGUCUGCAGGAAAAGAAAUGCAACAGAGUGUUGAAGGAAAGAGGAGAGGGAAUACAUAUUAGCGGCAAUGGGAUAGCAGGUCACAUGUAAAUCCAUUUAGUGAGAAGCCAACGCCUGUUUUUAUUAUUAGCCUUUUCCUGUUUAGGUGCUAAGAUGAUUGUCUAAAGCACGCAGCUCUUUUGUUCAUGACAACCCCCUUUCUUCUUAGACUUUUAAAAUAGACAUUCUUAGCUAUGAAGCUUGAAUCUUCUUCAAGUUA